AUUUAUAUUUACGGACAAGAACCCUGUGAGAAUGAGGGCUCAUUUGUUGCCCAACCUUGGCCAGCAGUAUACAACCUGCCUGUCUUUCCCCCUGAAUUGCAAGCAGCUUUGCAGAGGAAGGAUCCCGGCUUUAUGAAGAAGGACAAGUCUCACAUCCGUGCAUUACUGAUUCAAGUGUUGUUUGACAGCAUCACUAAGCACACCUGGUACCCAAAUCAUAAAAUGUAUGGAGAUGUUCUGGGGAGUUUGAUCACCCGCUUUCCAUUUCUGAAGGAUGGCAGCUCCUCUGGUUAUGAUACCUUGUUGGAAUGCCUUAGAAACAAAUUUAAAAAAGAAAGGAUUCCCUUGGUUAGCUCAUCGAUCGUCCUGCAAAUGAAGGAGAAGUAUGGGAUUAAAAGGAAGUGUGCUGGACAAACAGAUUCUGAGG